rnacentral:lncRNA from 1 species
GCAGAAUUUUAUCUGUGGCUGUCUGGUCCUUUUAAUAUCGGUAGUACCAAUAUGGUUUCCAAGGACAUGAUGUACUCCCAGUGCCUAUUGUAAUUUUAUUUUUUAGCUAUUUUUAUUGGAAUGAAUGAAUAAACUAUUAAAAUACAAAGAAUCCUUUUAUAACUAUAAAGGAAAUGUGUAAAAAGCAAUGAAAAGGAUAAGAAAUGGUUUCUAAAUUGAACAGUUUGUUUUAUUAUUAACAAUAACAAUAAAGUAAGUCACACAGCUCAUAAGUCCUCCCAGAUGAGACAUCUGUGGGAUUCUCUAGUUUGAAAAGAAACUUAGCUUAUAAACAUGUCAGCCAUGUCCCGAAUAAAAUGAGGAUUUCGCACUACAUGGAAAUGAAACUAUUUGUUCUUCAACAUGUCCAAGAUUCAGUGUUAUUUUAAGAUGCUUUUCCUUCCAAUUAAAUAGGACAUGUUUUCCAUCAGCUGCAGAGGGAAAAGGUACCAGUAACUUUGAUGAAUAUAAAUUGCUUAAGCUACUAAACUUAAGAUCAUAGGCUGUCAACCACUGAUACAAAAUCUAAAUCCAAUCCAGCUCACAGUGUAAAGAGUCUGAACCUUUGUUAGCAAAGAUCAUCUCCAUAUUCUGGUUACCACAUUUGACCUUUAAUGAGUUGGGACAGCUAAAUGAUUUUGAAGAUGGGAGUGGUGUAACUAGUUAUAACUGUAACUAGUUCCUAAAAAUUUACCGUACUUUUUUUUUUUUUGUGGCAUGAAAAAGAAAAGAAAAAAGAAAGGAGAGAGGUGUAUUUAGUAGCCAUUGAGAUACACAACAUAAAGGGAGUUAGUGAAAGCUUCUCUUUUUCCAUGCCCCUGUCCCAGAAACAAUGUGAGGACUUGUCCUCUGCCUCUAAGGUGAUGUCAGUUUUAUCAAUGACAACGUGUCAAUUAAAUGCUCCCAACUUUGUAUGCAAUGCUUUUCAACUUUCACUGACUCUAUUCGACUCUCUUCUCUGCUCACGGCAAUAAUGAAUCAUGAUAUAUUACAACAAAAAUUAAAGAAGCACAAUACACUUCCUGAAGGCUCCACAAAUGGGAAGAAGGGAAUGGAAAGAAUGUGGCCUUCAGCAUCAUACAAAUCCAUCACUUAAGAGCAUUAUGACCUCGGUCAAACUAUUUCACUUCUGCCGAGGAAGUGGGGGGCAUUUUCAUCAACUAUAAUAUGGAGGACAAUAGUUUUUCACAGAGUUGUGGCGGAUAGUAUAAACAUAAUAUAUUUUGAAGCACCUAGCACAGGGGCCAAUGGCUACCCUAAAGUAAAAUGAUUCAUUCAUGACAGAAAAAAGGAGACUUUGCCCAUAAACUUCUCCUAAACUAUUAUAGAAAUGAUGCUUUGAGGAUCUCAUCUUCAUUCUAAACGUAGCAGAGUGGCUUGAAGGGUUAAGGUGAGCAGGGAAGCCGAGCAGAUGGGGCUUUGAGUUUCUCUCCCUACUUCAACCAAAGCAGCUGCACUGUGUUCUGUUUUACAUUGACCAUGCAUAAAUGUGGGAUUUGGGAAAUUCACCAAUGAUGUCCUACUUCUUUAUUGUCUUGUUAGUGCCACACAGGACCUGACUAAAAUCCUGUGAAGAGAGGAGGGGUGUCCCCAGCUGUUCUCACUGUGCAUAAUCCUGGAAGAAGUUCAUGGUGCUUCCUGUAUUAACAUCCUUGCAAGUGGUACCUGCCUCUCUGAGGAUCCAGCUACGCAAUGAAUCUGAGAAAGCUUAAAAUCGGAAAUGCUGCUCUAGUAAUGGUUCUCAAACCCUGGUGGUCUUGACAUACAGGUCUUAUUAAAACACAGUUGCUGGGCUCCACCUAAGAGAUCUGGAUUCUGAAUUUGUAUGUCUAACAAGUUUCCAGAAGUUUGAUGCCACAAUGGAUGCUACCAAUGACACCAUUUGAUUUGGAAAUAAGGAGAUAGGCCCAAGUUUUUAUCGGACACACCCCUCAUUCUUCGUUCAUCACAGCAUCCCUGAAAUUGAAAGCCAGCAGCGACCCGAGUCAAUUUUCUACACUCAAAUUUGCAUGCCUGGUGUAAAUUUCCAGGAGCUUUCCUCCUGGAAAGCCAGUGUCUCAUACGCCUCCCAGCAAACACUGACCACAUCCUGAACGAAGCUAAGCACUGUGUAAUGCUAAGCAGACCUGGGCCCGUAGGAAACAAGAUGCCACAUUCGGGACAGCUGUCAGCACUCAUCCAACACCCUGCCUUCCACUCGUCCAUCCCUGCAAUUAGUGAGGAGUGAGGUUUGGAGCUGUGCCAAUUCAACCUGGAAUGGGAAACAUCGAGCUCUGACACCCUUAAGAGCUACCAAGAUUUUGUGAUGGAAAUGAAGCUGACAGUUUUGUCAGGGAUGUGAGAAGCAGAAUCAGAUUCAGCUAGUUCCUGCGGAGAUGUGCUGGCUCUAUCAAGAUGAAGAUAAUAAAAGUAAGUUUGGUGGGUAAAAUGGGUAGAUAUAACUCAAAGACACAUGGGAAGAGAUACUGAGCGAAAGGAUGACAUUUCACACAUUACUGAUCAGGGGAGCAGUGCCUUGGCCAAGGGUUCGGUAACCACUGGAUGGAAAGGAGAGACUUGAGUGUUUCCCUAGGAUCACCUACGUCCUACAUUUA